rnacentral:rRNA from 1 species
AGUGAACGCUGGCGGUAGGCCUAACACAUGCAAGUCGAACGGCAGCACAGGAGAGCUUGCUCUCUGGGUGGCGAGUGGCGGACGGGUGAGGAAUACAUCGGAAUCUACUCUGUCGUGGGGGAUAACGUAGGGAAACUUACGCUAAUACCGCAUACGACCUACGGGUGAAAGCAGGGGAUCUUCGGACCUUGCGCGAUUGAAUGAGCCGAUGUCGGAUUAGCUAGUUGGCGGGGUAAAGGCCCACCAAGGCGACGAUCCGUAGCUGGUCUGAGAGGAUGAUCAGCCACACUGGAACUGAGACACGGUCCAGACUCCUACGGGAGGCAGCAGUGGGGAAUAUUGCACAAUGGGCGCAAGCCUGGUCCAGCCAUACCGCGUGGGUGAAGAAGGCCUUCGGGUUGUAAAGCCCUUUUGUUGGGAAAGAAAUCCAGCUGGCUAAUACCCGGUUGGGAUGACGGUACCCAAAGAAUAAGCACCGGCUAACUUCGUGCCAGCCGCCGCCGUAA